CCCUUAGAUGUCCUGGGCCGCACGCGCGUUACACUGAUGCAUUCAACGAGCUUAUAACCUUGGCCGAGAGGCCUGGGCAAUCUUGUUAACGUGCAUCGUGAUAGGGAUAGAUUAUUGAAAUUAUUAAUCUUGAACGAGGAAUUCCUAGUAAACGCAGAUCAUCAAUCUGCAUUGAUUACGUCCCUGCCCUUUGUACACACCGCCCGUCGCUCCUACCGAUUGGGCGUGCUGGUGAAAUGUUCGGAUCGGCCGUUUGUCGCGGUUUCCGCGUCAUGUGGCUGAGAAGUUCAUUAAACCCUCCCACCUAGAGGAAGGAGAAGUCGUAACA
rnacentral:rRNA from 1 species